rnacentral:rRNA from 1 species
UCGAUGAAGAUCGCAGCUAGCUGCGAGUCGGAAUGUGAACUGCAGGACACAUGAACAUCGACAUAUUGAACGCAUAUUGCAGAUUGUGACUCUGUUACAAUCUAUACCUGGCUCAGGGUCG